CACUCUAGUGAGACUGCCGGUGACAAACCGGAGGAAGGUGGGGAUGACGUCAAGUCCUCAUGGCCCUUAUGGGUAGGGCUUCACACGUCAUACAAUGGUCGGUACAGAGGGUUGCCAAGCCGCGAGGUGGAGCCAAUCCCUUAAAGCCGAUCGUAGUCCGGAUCGUAGUCUGCAACUCGACUACGUGCAGUCGGAAUCGCUAGUAAUCGCAAAUCAGAAUGUUGCGGUGAAUACGUUCCCGGGCCUUGUACACACCGCCCGUCACACCAUGGGAGUGGGUUGCACCAGAAGUAGAUAGCUUAACCUUCGGGAGGGCGUUUACCACGGUGUGAUUCAUGACUGGGGU
rnacentral:rRNA from 1 species